AUGGCUGCAAAUGCUUCCUGAUCCUAUCGGCAGGUAGAGCAGCCUCAUUGGGAAUCACAGAAAGAAGUGAUUUCCACUGCUCGGAUCUGCUUUGGGACCUCUCGAGGGUGCGACUGAGGCUGUCCACGCAGGGAAGCCCGAAGGAGAGCAGCGACCAUGUGGCUGCUGACAGCUCUCAUGCUGGCAGUUGGUUUCUCCUGUGGCUCUGCACAAGCCCUGCAGCAAAGUCCAGCGGCCGUCACCAAGCCUGAAAGCAAAACGGCGCUCAUCACCUGCCGCAUCUCCAUCUCCAACUUUGACAAAGUCUUCAUUCACUGGUACCGCAAGAGGCCUGGGGCAGCUCCCAAGCGCAUUGCCUACAUGGCGACCAGGCUGUUCCUUGAGAAGGAGUCGGAUGAGGGGAAAUUCAGCAUCGAGAAGGACCUCGCCAAAUCCCAGUGCACCCUGACAGUGGGCAGACUCACUGCGCAAGACGCUGCUACCUACUACUGUGCCAGAUGGGAUGCACAGCAGCAGAGAGCCAUAGGGAACCUGCACAAAGACACGCUCUGCUUCUUGAGCCACGGCCUAGAAUGCCAGAAGACUUGUGGGAAUGGCCUCUCCUUCCCUCUGCAUCUUUAUUCUAGGCAAAUCCUAUGUGGGCUCUAAAACGUUUGCGUUUCUUGCACC